UUCUAUUAGUAAUAAUUAAUAGUAUAAUCUGCUCACUGUAUUAUAAAGAGCCGCAAUACGUGCUAAGGUAGCAUAAUCAUUUGUCUUUUAAAUGAGGACUAGAACAAAAGAUUUAACAUUUCAAUUUAUAUUUAUAAUUAAAUAAUUUAAUUUAUCCUAAAUAUAAAAAGAUAUUUAUAUAAAAGAUAGACGAUAAGACCCUAUUGAACUUUACUGAAGUUUAACUGGGGCAGUUAAUUAAUUAUCAUUUUAAUAAAAAUUUUUCUAAAAAGAUUCCAUUAUUGAAUAAUUAAGUUACCAUAGGGAUAACAGCAUAAUUAUCUUUUUCAAGCUCUUAUUUAAAAAAUAGAUUAUGACCUCGAUGUUGAAUUAAUUACCUCUAUGAAGCAAGAUUUAUAAAAGGAAGUCUGUUCGACUUUUUAAAAAUU
rnacentral:rRNA from 1 species